rnacentral:rRNA from 1 species
AGCGAACGCUGGCGGUAUGCUUAACACAUGCAAGUCGAGCGCGAAAGUGACUUCGGUCAUGAGUAGAGCGGCGGACGGGUGAGUAACACGUGGAUAACCUGCCUUUAGGACUGGGAUAACCCUGGGAAACUAGGGCUAAUACCGGAUAAGACCACAGGUUCCAUGGAACCAGGGGUAAAAGGCGGCCUUCGGGCUGUCGCCGAAAGAUGAGUCCGCGUCCCAUCAGGUAGUUGGUGAGGUAACGGCUCACCAAGCCGAAGACGGGUAGCCGACCUUAGCGGGUGAUCGGCCACAC